rnacentral:rRNA from 1 species
CCUACGGGAGGCAGCAGUAGGGAAUCUUCCACAAUGGGCGAAAGCCUGACGGAGCAACGCCGCGUGGGUGAUGAAGGUCUUCGGAUCGUAAAACUCUGUUGUUAGAGAAGAAAGUGCGUGAGAGUAACUGUUCACGUCUUGACGGUAUCUAAUCAGAAAGCCACGGCUAACUACGUGCCAGCAGCCGCGGUAAUACGUAGGUGGCAAGCGUUAUCCGGAUUUAUUGGGCGUAAAGGGGACGUAGGCGGUUUUUUAAGUCUGAUGUGAAAGCCCUCGGCUUAACCGGAGUAGUGCAUUGGAAACUGUGAGACUUGAGUGCAGAAGAGGAGAGUGGAACUCCAUGUGUAGCGGUGAAAUGCGUAGAUAUAUGGAAGAACACCAGUGGCGAAGGCGACUCUCUGGUCUGUAACUGACGCUGAGGUGCGAAAGCGUGGGGAUCAAACAGGAUUAGAUACCCCAGUAGUC